ensembl:lncRNA
GUGGCCGCCAAGCCUCAAAGUCGUGACUGAGUCUGCGCGCCGGCUCCUCGAGUUGGGAAGAGCUUGUACUGCGAUGAGGCAGCUUGAUAAGGAGAUCUAUUUCGGAUUAGAGGCACUGAUCCUGGGUAAACGGGAAUGAUUAGAGAAAGUAAAGCUUUAAUCUGUGCAAGAUGGUGAUGGAGGACUACGGUGGCCUGACUGAGGUAGCUAUGGGUACCCGUAAGGGUCAAGACAAGAGAACUGAAGUGUUAAGUGAUUUGGCUCCUGAGCUUCCUUGGCGCUCGGCAUCGGCGGACACGGAGGGUUCUUUCUGGCAAAGGCAAUGACAUACCCAUCUGUGACCUCAUCCCAAAAAUGAACCUAGUUUCUUAGUCCAUGGCAACCAGGAUGCAUGUGACCUUACCUAUGGUUAGAAAACAGAAAGUUUACUGAACUCUGGUAUCGACUAUUCUAUUCUCUACUUCCAGGACAUCAACUUUUUUGGAUUCUUUAUAUGUGUAAGAUCAUAUAGUAUUUGUCUUUGUUUGUCUGGUUUAUUUUACAUAAUAUAAGUGUCCUUCAGGUUCAUCUAUUUUGUUGUAAAUGGCAGGAUUUCAUCCCUUCUUAUGGUUGAAUCUUAUUCCAUUGUAUAUGCAUACUAUAUUUUCUUUAUCCAUUCAUCUGUUUUUGGACAUUUGUUGAUUCCAAAUCUUAGCUAUUGUGAAUAAUGCUGCUGCUGUAAAUAUGGGCGUACAGAUAACUCUUUGACCUACUGAUUUUGUUUCCUUUGGUUAUAUACUCAGUAAUGGAAUUUUGGGGUUGUUUUGUCUGUUUUUGAAUUUGAAUUGAAUCAUAAAUUCAAUAUAUAUUGAAUUUUAUAUUACUGAAGUUGAAUCUGUACAGUAAAUAAUCUGAAGCCCAAGGAUACCUGAUAUUGCCUGUUUUGUUACUCCCUCUGAAAGCCAAAAACAUGAACAGUGAAGUAGAUCUUGAGGAUUUUGGGUUUAAUGUCCUGUUAUGAAGUUGACUAGUUAUGGUAGCCUCUUCUCAGUGGGUAGUUUGGAGGAGAUUUCAGAGUUCCUUGGUCAAAAUCUUUUGUCUUGGGGCCAGGGAUUUAGCUCAGUGGCACCACACCUGCCUUGAAAGCGCAAGCUCCUGAGGUCCUGAGUUUGAUCCUUGGUACUGCCCACGUGCACCCCCCCCCCCAAAUCUCUUGUCUUUUAGAGACUGACCAUUAGCUGCAGAGACUUGAAUAAGACAGCAUGAAAAAGAGCUGUUAGGGUUGGAUGCUGAGGGGGCAAGGCAUAAUGAUUAAACAAAUGCUACAUGUUCCAAGAGGGUCUUUUGCCAGGAUUCUGGGGGAUGAUAGAUUUACUCUAAGGUAAAGAAGACAUAUCUGUCCCUCAUAUCCCAGCUGACCUAUCUGCUAAAGCAGCAAACCUGCUCCUUCAGCUUGUAGGUCUUCCAUCUUGCUCAUCUGCCUGCAAACAUAAGAGGUUUUUGUUUUGUUUUUUAAAAUGUCAGACUUAGGAAAGUUACAAGAACAGUACAAAUAUUCUUGUUACAUCCUUUACCCAAAUUCUGCAGUGAUUAACAUUUUGCUUAUUCUGUGCCAAUAAUUUUUUCUCUAUAUAUGUAUGAACAUAUUAAUUUUUUGAACCAUGUGAUAGUGAAUUGUUGACAUGAUCUUUACUGUCAUAUAUAUUCCCUAAGUACAAGGAUAUUUUCUUCCAUAUAAUUAUUGAAAGCAGGAAAGUUCAUAUUAAAAUUAUACUAUCUAGUGACAGACCUCAUUUAGAUUUCUCCACUUUUCCCAGUAAUGUCCUUUAUUGAAAUUCUUUUCUUUGGUUCAGGAGUCUAAUCCAGGAUUACAUGUUGCAUUUAGUUGUCAUAUUUUUUUUUAGACUUCUUUAAUUUGGAAUAUUUUCUUAGUCAUUUUUAAACCUUUUUUGACCAUGAUAUUUCUGAGGAAUACAGGCCAGUUAUAUUUUAUAAGUUGUCCCUAAAUUUGAGUUUUCCUGAUUUUUCUUCAUAACUGAGAGUCAUGUUGUACAUCUUUGGCAGGAAUAGCAAAAGUGAUACUGCUGUGUCCUAUCCAAUGUUCCACAUCAGGUUCAUGAUAUUGGCUUGUCACAUUAAUGAUGAUGUAAGCUUUGAGCAUUUGGUUAAGGUUAUGUCCAUAAGUGUUUUCCACUAUAAAGUUUUAUUAAUAAAUAUCUUGUGGAGAGAUAUUUUGGGGCUUUGCAAGUAAUCUCAAACUUUCAUCCACUAGUGUUAUGAUUCUUUUUUUUUUUUUUUUUUCGGUACUGGGGAUCAAACUCAGGACCUUGCAUUUGCCAGGCAGAUAUGGUGCCACUGGACUACAUCCUGGCCCUCAUUAAUAAUUCUUGCCUAAAUUAAUUACUACUAUUAUGGCUGCCAAAUACUGAUUUUCCUAAUUGCAGCAUUCAUUCUACAUUAUUGUAGAAGCUUUCCCUUAUCCUCGCUCUAUAUAUCAGUAUAAAUAUAAUGGUAUGUCCUUUUUACGUAUAAAACAGGGAGGCACAUUGGAAACUUAUAAAACUGUUUAAAAUAUUGAGUUAGACUAUAAGUCAAAGCUCAGACCUUCUGAAUCAUAAAGAAAGCAUCUUGGGAGACAGGCUAGUUACAGAGAAAGAGUUGUGACAUCAUGUCCAUUCGUAGACAAGAAUUCCCGAGGUUCAACUCUAGGCCUAACAGAUUUCUGUUGUGUUCUCAGAAUGAGGGUCUGGAAGCCAGAGUGGAACAAGACAUGAACUGUCAGAAAUGUGGUAAAAUUGUCAGAACCACAUGAAAGGAGCCAUACAUGGACAUGGAUUUGUUUAUUCUAUGACAGUCAACCACAUUACAUUUCUUUUCUUUUUUUUUUCCAGUGCUAGGGGUUGAACCCAGGACCUCAUUCAUGCAAAGCUAGUGCUCGACCACUGAGCUACACUCCCAGCCCAUGUUAUAUAUUAAAAACCAAGAUGGAAAAGAUUAGGUAAAAUUAUAUGUGACAUGUCUUCAAUUAACACUGAAUUGACUAUGGAUGAUUUUCUAUGGUUUUUAGUUUGUCUUGAUGAAACAUUCAAUCAAGGAAGUUAGAAGAAUCAAUAAAUAAGGAGAAAUUAAUAUGCUAAAAAGAAAAUCUGACAGAUUUGAUUUUUUAAAAUCAGUAAACUAUUAGUAAAUCAUAUCAAGUCAGUAGGAAAUCAGCAAAUAGACUAGGAAUUCAAAAAAGGGAAAUAACUGUAUAAUUAAACAGUAUUUUUAGCCAGACACAAUAGCACAUGUAGUCCUAGCAACUCCUGAAGCUGAGGCAAGAGGAUCGCUUGAGCCCAAGAGUUUAAGGCCAGCCUGGGCAGCAUAGUGAGACCUCAUCUCAAAUAAAUAAAACCCCACAAUAUUUGUAUAAAACUUUAUAUUAAAUUGUUUCAAAAUAGCCGUGCAAAAGAUGAUUUUCUUUGAUUAUAUGGGUAUGCUAAAGAUCCUUAAGAAAUAAAGAAAAAUAAGCCGGGCAUGGUGGUGCACACCUGUAAUCCCAGCACUUGGGAGGCUGAGGCAGUAGGAUUGUCGUGAGUUCAAGGCCAGCCUGACCUACAUAGUGAGACCCUGUCUCAAACAAACAAACAAACAAACAAAGAAAUAAAGAAAAAUAAAAGAUGAACUGUGAAAGCUUGAAAUACUCAAAAAGAUUUCCAUAUGCCAUCUCCUUCUUGCUCCUUUUUCUCUUCCAGCCCACAAAGACACCACUAUGUUUAGUUUAAUUGGUGAUUCCUUACAUGUGAAGUGACUUCUAAAUAACAUGUACUUACUUCUUCAAAUAGUUAAACUUUUCUGGAGAAUUUACAAAGGAGGGGACUGAUAUCAUCUUAAAAAAGAAAAGCUGGUAUUGUUACAUUGCUUCCAUAAACUAGAUAUUGUGGCCUGGCAAAAGAAAGCUUUAUGAAUGUGUAUGCAAAAUCCUAAAAGAAACUUAACAUUGAAAUAAUGCAUUAUGAUCAAGAGAAAAUUUAUCCUAAAGUGUAAGUUUAAUAUUAUUUAAAGAAUUUAUUAAUGAAUUUCACCGUAUUAGUAAGGCCAUGGGAAAAUACUAUACAGUUAUCUCAUAAAUGGCAAUUUGAUAAAAUUCAACAUCUGUUCUGGGAUUAUUGUUAUUAUUUUAGGUUUUGGGGUGUUUUUUUUGGUUUUUGGGAUAUUUUUGGUUUUUUGAGACAGGGUCUCACUAUGUAGUUUGGUCUGGUCUUGAACUCACUAUGUAGCCCAGGCUGGCCUUGAACACGUAGCAAUCCUCCUGCCUCAGCCUCCUGAGUACUAGGAUCACAGGCAUGUACCACCAAGCCCAGCUAUUUUGCCUUUUUGAGACAUGGUCUCACUAUGUAGUUUAGGCAGGCCUUGAACUCACUGUGUAGACUAGGCUGGCCUUGAACUAGAAGUGAUUCUCCCUGCCUCAGCCUCUCUACUGCUGGGAUUACAAGUGUGUGCCACCAUGCCUGGCUUUGAAUUAUUUUUUUAGAAAGCAAUAGUAAAGUAGGACUAAGUGGUUACUUUUUAACAUAAAAUCUGUAUUGCAAAUUGAAAGUCAAUAACAGGUUUAAUGGCAAAACUCUGUAAGCCUUCCCAUUCAAGUGAGCAGUUUCUAAUCUAGCAUAGUGGCACACACCUGUAAUCCCAGCACUCUGGAAGGCUGAAGCAGGAGGAUUUCAAGUUCAAGCUCAUCUUGGGCAACUUAGCAACUUAUGUAGAGAGACCCUGUCUUAAAAAAAGGAGCAGAGGGGACAAUUUGUCCCUAUUAUUAUUUGCUUUUUUCUAGAGUGCUAGCCAGCACAUUUAAUCAUGGAGUGAGAUAAGAAGAUAAAUAUUUGUUUGGGAAAAAAGCUUUUAAGUAUUUGUGGAUGAAAUAAUUGUACACUCCCAAAGGUCAAGAGGAUUAACUCUAAAAACAUUGUAGUUAAGAAAGUUAAACUGGGCAUAGCAUAAGACUGUAGCCCCAUACCAGGGUACCUAGGAGGAAGAUCACUUGAGCACAGGAUCAAAGAAAGUUUAGUAAGGUGGCUGGUGAAAAAUGAAUAUGCGGGCUGGGGAUAUAGCUCAGUGGCAGAUUGCACUUGCCCAUCAUGAACAAUUACUUGGGUUCUAUUGGAACAUCACCAGAAGAACAAAAAAAGGAAUAUGGAUGGAAAAUUCUUCUACUCCCAUUAGUAAUUAAGUGAAAAAAUUAUGCCAUUUAGAAUAACAGCUAAGAAUUCAAUUGACUAUCUAGUAAAUAUAAAAAGGAUGUUGGAAUACCCAUAAGAAACAAAAUAUAAAAUUGAUUUUAGAUGUUUAGAUAAAACUUUAAUAAAUGGAGAAAUCUUAUUGUAAGAUUGGAAGGCUCAGUGUCUUUCAAUAUUGUCCACAUUUUCUUACAUAAAUGGACAGAUUUGAUGCAAUGUCAAGAAACAUCUAUUUAGGAAUUUUUUUCAAAUUAUAACAGAAACAUUUUAUAGUUAAAUUGAAGAUGAAACAUUUAAGGAUAGCCAGGCCUUUUUUUUUUUUUGCAAAAAAUAAAUAAUGAGAGAUAACAUGCCAGACAAAAUUUUAAAACAUGCAGAUUCAAGAGACAAAGGGUGUGAUCCAAGAGGAAGAAUAAACUGAGGAAGAAAAUACUGAGUUUUAUGGGUGGCAAGGAGAGAUUUGGUUUUAAAUUUGUGACUGCGGAACUAGGGAUGUAUCUCAGUGGUAGAGCACAUGCUUAAUAUGUGUGAGGUCCUGUGUUCAAUUCCCGGUAUCACAAAUGAUGAUGAUGAUGAUGAUGAUGAUGAUGAUAUUUGUGAAAGAGAACAUUUAGAUGAUGAUAUCUAGUAUAUGGUAACGUGGCUUUUGAGUUGAUGAUUAGAGUGUUAUGAAUCACAAUUAUGAGAUUGAUGACUGCAGUGCUGCUGUUUGAAUGACUAAUUGCCUGGUACUACUGCUUACCAAGAUUUCAAGAUGGACUCACCCCUCACCCUUUGGUACUGAGGAGUGAACUCAGGGCCAUUGCACUGAGCUACAUCCCCUGUCCUUUUUAUUUUUUUUAUUUUGCCUUCCAAUUCUUUUUCUCAAAGAAAGUAAUGAUAUUUUAACAGAUUUAGACUUACAUAAUUUUAUUAAUGGACUCAUGCUUUCACAUUAUAUGUUAAACCCCACAUUUCCUACUUUGAUAUGAAUCACAAAUGCUCUUCUAAGUCAGUGAGUAUACUUUUCGAUUAUUUUUUCUGUGUUUUGGUGUAAGUGUGUGGUACGGAGAAUUGAACCCAGCACCUCCACAUUCAGCUGCAUCAUCACCCCUUCCCCCUUUUUGAGACAGAGUCUUGCUGAGUUGCUGAGUUAUCCAGGCUGGGCUCAAUCUCAACAUCCUCCUGCCUCAGUGUCCCAGAGUGCUGGAUAGCAUAGUCCCACACCACCACACCCAGCUUCUGUCACUAUUUCUAAUGUCUACCUUGUGUUCCGUUCUGUGGCUUACCAUUAACAGUGAGCCUAUCUUUUAGUUACUGAAGUAUUUUCUUGCUUCUAGUUGUUUUGCUUUUAUAAACAAAACUAAGAUGAAAAUUCUUGUACCUUCAUUUUUUUUUUUCCAUUAGACCAAUUAGUUCUUUAGGAUAUGUUACUGGAUGUUGAAGAGUAGUUUACAAGAUGUAGACACUUUUUUUUUUUUUGGUACCAGGGAUAGAACUCAGGACCUUGUACUUGCGAGGCAGGCGCAGCACCACUGAGCUAAAUCCCCAGUCCUAAAAUGCACAUUCUUAAAAUGGUGUUAUAAAUAACCUUUAGAAAGUUUGAAUUUACUUUUCUAUUGUCAGUAUAGGAGGUGUUAUCUAUCUGAGCCAAUCUCAUAAGCCAAAAAGGCCAAUAUUUUUAUAAUAUGUGAAAAGAACUUUGUUAAGAAUGGUACUGUCGGGCCGGGGAUUUAGCUCAAUGGCUCCAGCACCUGCCUCGCAAGUACAAGGUCCUGAGUUUGAUCCUUGGUACCAAAAAAAAAAAAAAAAGAAUGGUACUGUCUUAGUUACAUUUCUUGUUGCUGGGACAAAACAUCUGACACCCACAAGUUCAAGGAGGAAAGGUUUAUUUCGCCUCAUAGUUUGUAGGGGUUUCAGUCCACAGUCAGCUGGCUCUAAGGCAGGGUGGCAUGACAGAGGGGCACUGCAGAGGAGAAACAGUCCAUAGCAGGGUAGGUAGAAAGCGGCAAUGAGCAGCAAGCCUGCCUUCCUUCUUUUUCCUUAUUUUUCUUUCAGGCUAUAAGCCUGUGGGUUGAUGCUACCCACACCCAGGGUGGAGCUUCCUAUUAUCCACACCCAGAACUAUGCUAAAACAAUCAGUGGACUAAUCUAGUCCUAUACACCCCUUUUAAAAAAAUGGAUUUCAUUAUUUAUUUAGAUGUUUAAGCUCUUACACUAAGUUUUUACAAGCUGAUGAACACUGACAAAUUAUUUCUCCCACAGAACUAUAACCACACAUUUCCAGACAUUACAAAUAUAUGGUUGAACUAACAUUAAUACACAUCACUAUUUUUAUCAAUUACAUAAUAAAACCAAUUAUCAAGUAUCCAAAUAUUAAGUUAUACAGCUCAAAAGGCAUAUAAAAUAUUUGAUGUCUGCUCCAUUCAGUAGUAGAAAUUCACUUCUGUUUUUUGCAAGAGGUUGGGAAGAGAAAGAAAAAAAAUCACACUUCAAACAAAAAUAAGUUGGUAAACAACUAAUAAGUAUGGAAAAAAAUACAAGAAUUUCAGAAAUUUUAUGAUUAAGAAUUGUUCUAGCUACAAUAGCAAAGCAUCUAUGCAUUUAA